rnacentral:misc_RNA from 1 species
UGGGUUGGUCGGAUCCCUGCUYGUGCAGCGACGGCCGCUCUUUCAUCCCUUUUCAUUCUUGUUCCAAGAGCGUUAUGCCCUGGACCAAUUCGGUUGCCUGUGUUGUAUACCUACGCCGAUGGAAUUCGCUCGUCCAAUUGCCCCUUAUUCACCUUGUGCUGCUUACGCAAUGCUGGUUGAACCAUGCAGUGUCCUUUGUUGUCCGUUCUUGCCUCGUGUUCGCGCGACGCAUAAAAUGGCCAAUGUUGUGACACUCGAAUUCUCGGAUACGGAAACGUACAAAGGGCAACGGGUCUUUGGCCUUGAUUUGCCCAGACUGAGCGUUCUCGCUUCUUACGAACGACUGUCGCGCCCGUAUUGACCUGAGGAUACUUUCGGUCCGACUGGCUCAUGCGGUGCCGACGUCGAAGAGGAGUGCUC